GAUGAACGCUGACAGAAUGCUUAACACAUGCAAGUCAACUUGAACUUCGGUUUGGGUGGCGGACGGGUGAGUAACGCGUAAAGAACUUGCCUCACAGCUAGGGACAACAUUUGGAAACGAAUGCUAAUACCUGAUAUUAUGAUUUUAGGGCAUCCUAGAAUUAUGAAAGCUAUAUGCGCUGUGAGAGAGCUUUGCGUCCCAUUAGCUAGUUGGAGAGGUAACGGCUCACCAAGGCGAUGAUGGGUAGCCGGCCUGAGAGGGUGAACGGCCACAAGGGGACUGAGACACGGCCCUUACUCCUACGGGAGGCAGCAGUGGGGAAUAUUGGACAAUGGACCAAGAGUCUGAUACAGCAAUUCUGUGUGCACGAUGAAGUUUUUCGGAAUGUAAAGUGCUUUCAGUUGGGAAGAAAAAAAUGACGGUACCAACAGAAGAAGUGACGGCUAAAUACGUG
rnacentral:rRNA from 1 species